GAGAGGAGCUGGACAAGUACUGGUCUCAGCAGAUUAAGGAGAGCACCACAGUGGUCACUAUGCAGUCCACUGAGGUUGGAGCUGCUGACAUG
ensembl:miRNA